AGCCGCGAAUGGCUCAUUACAACAGCCGUUGUUUCUUGGAUCUUGAUUUACUUGGAUAACUGUGGUAAUUCUAGAGCUAAUACAUGCAACCAAGCUCCGACCUUACGGAAGGAGCGCAUUUAUUAGACCAAGACCAAUCGGGCUCUGCCUGACUUUUGGUGACUCUGAAUAACUUUGCUGAUCACACGGUCUAGCACCGGUGACAUAUCUUUCAAGUGUCUGCCCUAUCAACUUUCGAUGGUAGUUUAUGUGCCUACCAUGGUUGUAACGGGUAACGGAGAAUAAGGGUUCGACUCCGGAGAGGGAGCCUGAGAAAUGGCUACCACAUCCAAGGAAGGCAGCAGGCGCGCAAAUUACCCAAUCUCAGUUCGAGGAGGUAGUGACGAAAAAUAACGAGACGGUUCUCUAUGAGGCCCGUCAUCGGAAUGGGUACAAUUUAAACCCUUUAACGAGGAUCUAUUGGAGGGCAAGUCUGGUGCCAGCAGCCGCGGUAAUUCCAGCUCCAAUAGCAUAUGCCAAUUCUGUUGCUGUUAAAAAGCUCGUAGUUGAAUCUUUUCCAAGGAGCUAGUCUGCCUAAAGGGUACGUACUGGUUUCCGAGGAUUUUUCAGCUGGUUUUCCCGUGGUGCUCUUCACCGGGUGUCACGGGUGGCUAGCACGUUUACUUUGAAAAAAUUAGAGUGCUCAAAACAGGCGUUACUGCCCGAAUAGUGGUGCAUGGAAUAAUGGAAUAGGAUCUCGGUUCUAUUUUGUUGGUUUUAGGAGCGCGAGAUAAUGAUUAAGAGGGACGGACGGGGGCAUUCGUAUUGCGGCGUUAGAGGUGAAAUUCUUGGAUCGCCGCAAG
rnacentral:rRNA from 1 species